AUUGAACGCUGGCGGCAUGCCCUACACAUGCAAGUCGAACGGUAACAGGUUAAGCUGACGAGUGGCGAACGGGUGAGUAAUGUAUCGGAACGUGCCCAGUCGUGGGGGAUAACUGCUCGAAAGAGCAGCUAAUACCGCAUACGACCUGAGGGUGAAAGCGGGGGAUCGCAAGACCUCGCGCGAUUGGAGCGGCCGAUAUCAGAUUAGGUAGUUGGUGAGGUAAAGGCUCACCAAGCCGACGAUCUGUAGCUGGUCUGAGAGGACGACCAGCCACACUGGGACUGAGACACGGCCCAGACUCCUACGGGAGGCAGCAGUGGGGAAUUUUGGACAAUGGGCGCAAGCCUGAUCCAGCCAUGCCGCGUGCGGGAAGAAGGCCUUCGGGUUGUAAACCGCUUUUGUCAGGGAAGAAAAGGUUCUGGCUAAUACCUGGGACUCAUGACGGUACCUGAAGAAUAAGCACCGGCUAACUACGUG
rnacentral:rRNA from 1 species